GACGAACGCUGGCGGCGUGCUUAACACAUGCAAGUCGAACGGAAACGCCCUGCUUUUUUGCGGUGCGCUAGUUGCGAACGGGUAAGUAACACGUGAGUAACCUGCCCUUGACUUUGGGAUAACUUCAUGAAGCUGAGUCUAAUAGCGGAUAGGAUCUCUUGCUGCAGGGUGGGCGUUGGAAAGUUUCGGCGGUUGGUGAUGGACUCGCGGCUUAUCAGAUUGUUGGUUGGGUAGUGGCUUACCAAGGCUUUGACCGGUAGCCGGCCUGAGAGGGUGACCGGACACAUUGGGACUGAGAUACGGCCCAGACUACUACGGGAGGCAGCAGUGGAGAAUAUUGCACAAUGGGAGGAAGCAUGAUGCAGCCAAGCAGCGUGCGGGAUGACGGCAUUCGGGUAGUAAACCGAAUUCGCCUGUCACGAAGCGUGAGUGACGGUAAUGGGUGAAGAAGCACCGGCUAACUACGUG
rnacentral:rRNA from 1 species